AUGGCCAGGCUGUCUCCACCCGAGACUCAGUGAAAUUGAACUCGCUGUGAAGAUGCAGUGUACCCGCGGCAAGACGGAAAGACCCCGUGAACCUUUACUAUAGCUUGACACUGAACAUUGAGCCUUGAUGUGUAGGAUAGGUGGGAGGCUUUGAAGUGUGGACGCCAGUCUGCAUGGAGCCGGCCUUGAAAUACCACCCUUUAAUGUUUGAUGUUCUAACGUGGACCCGUGAUCCGGGUUGCGGACAGUGUCUGGUGGGUAGUUUGACUGGGGCGGUCUCCUCCUAAAGAGUAACGGAGGAGCACGAAGGUUGGCUAAUCCUGGUCGGACAUCAGGAGGUUAGUGCAAUGGCAUAAGCCAGCUUGACUGCGAGCGUGACGGCGCGAGCAGGUGCGAAAGCAGGUCAUAGUGAUCCGGUGGUUCUGAAUGGAAGGGCCAUCGCUCAACGGAUAAAAGGUACUCCGGGGAUAACAGGCUGAUACCGCCCAAGAGUUCAUAUCGACGGCGGUGUUUGGCACCUCGAUGUCGGCUCAUCACAUCCUGGGGCUGAAGUAGGUCCCAAGGGUAUGGCUGUUCGCCAUUUAAAGUGGUACGCGAGCUGGGUUUAGAACGUCGUGAGACAGUUCGGUCCCUAUCUGCCGUGGGCGCUGGAGAACUGAGGGGGGCUGCUCCUAGUACGAGAGGACCGGAGUGGACGCAUCACUGGUGUUCGGGUUGUCAUGCCAAUGGCACUGCCCGGUAGCUAAAUGCGGAAGAGAUAAGUGCUGAAAGCAUCUAAGCACGAAACUUGCCCCGA
rnacentral:rRNA from 1 species